GGGAGCCGGAUGGGCAGGAAAGCCGCUUGUCCGGUUCUGAGAGGGGGCGGCUAUCAACUGUCGUCAUGGGUGAGAUAUUGUGGCACCGCCGGGAAACCAGGCGGCAAACGGAGAAAAAAAACUUUACCCUAUCGCGCUGGAAGUGCCUGUCCUACUCAAAA
rnacentral:misc_RNA from 1 species